UACGUUCCCGGCUUGUACACACCGCCCGUCACACCACGAAAGUCGGCAACACCCGAAGCCGGUGGCCUAACCCGCAAGGGAGGGAACCGUCGAAGGUGGGGUUGAUGAUUGGGGUG
rnacentral:rRNA from 1 species